rnacentral:rRNA from 1 species
GAUGAACGCUGACAGAAUGCUUAACACAUGCAAGUCUACUUGAACUUCGGUUUAGGUGGCGGACGGGUGAGUAACGCGUAAAGAACUUGCCUCACAGAUGGGGACAACAUUUGGAAACGAAUGCUAAUACCUGAUAUUAUGAUUUUAGGGCAUCCUAGAAUUAUGAAAGCUAUAUGCACUGUGAGAGAGCUUUGCGUCCCAUUAGCUAGUUGGAGAGGUAACGGCUCACCAAGGCGAUGAUGGGUAGCCGGCCUGAGAGGGUGAUCGGCCACAAGGGGACUGAGACACGGCCCUUACUCCUACGGGAGGCAGCAGUGGGGAAUAGUGGACAAUGGACCAAGAGUCUGAUCCAGCAAUUCUGUGUGCACGAUGAAGUUUUUCGGAAUGUAAAGUGCUUUCAGUUGGGAAGAAAAAAAUGACGGUACCAACAGAAGAAGUGACGGCUAAAUACGUG